rnacentral:rRNA from 1 species
CUGAAAGCAUCUAAGCGCGAAACUCGCCCCAAGAUGAGACAUCCAGUUUACAAAACGAAGGACCGUGGGAGACGACCACGUUGAUAGGCGGCCGGUAUACGUAGCGAAAUCUACUUUAGCCUAGCCGUACUAAUCAUCCAAA